AGAUGGGGACUUUAUUACCUGCCUCUCCCACCUGCUGCUUUGUAAAAUGCACCCGUGUGCCCGGCCCUCGCUUACUUCUCUGUGCUUGCUCUUAGGCACCAGCUCAUUCAAGAACACAUCUGGGGACACCCCAGUGCCACCAGCCUUCUGCUAGGGCACCCUGGGCAUAUCUUUGGGAAUAAUUUGCUAUAAAUAGUAGAUGUCAAAAGAACCAAGGAGGAGUUCUCUUGUGGUGCAGUGGGUUAAGGACCUGGCAUUGUGGCUCAGCAGCUUGGGUUGCUGGUGUGGCUCGAGUUCAAUCCCUGGCCCAGGAACUUCCACAUGCCGCAGGUGUGGCCAAAAAAUAAAUAAAUAAAUAAGCCAAUGAUAACUGCUCUUUAUUAAAAGAGGAUGAACCUACAGGAAAUGGUAACUUUUAAGGAAAAUCAAAUUUUAAUGGAAAACCAUUCGAGAGUAUGUUUUAUUUAUUAUGUAUUAUUUAUUUAACUUAUUGCCAGUGCUCUCAUUUCUCAGAAGCCUGGGGCACACGUGUGAAAUAUAAAUGGAAUAAUUAAGUCCAAUAGUUAAAAUCCCCACAAAGGGGAAAAAAAAUCAAUGCAAUAUUAUUGUUUACCAUUUAAUUGAAGAAAUCACUUAAAACAUGUAACAAUUUAAAGAAUUUAAUAAAGCCUUCACCCUCAUCUCCAGAAUAAGGAGCUGGAAUCUAACUUAAUGUUGGUCCCCUCCUGUUAUGCUUUAUAUAGCAGAACCGCAUUGAUAUUCCUCAUAGCUUACCACCGUUGUAAUUAUUUUAUUUGUUUUCAUUUUGUGUGCUUCAUUGAAUAUUUGUGAACGGUAUACAUGCAUAUACGUAUAUAUAUAUAUGUGUGUGUAUAUAUGUGUGUAUACACACACACACACACAUUUCUAUUUCUAUACUGUAAUUCUAGAUCCAGGAAUUUAUUAAGAGAAAAGGUUGUCUCUAAACACCACUGAUCAUGGGGCUUUCCUCCACUUGACUGAUGUUUUGCUAAAAAGGAAUCCUUUCCCUUCAGUCAGAGACUUCUAUAUCUUGCCAAAAAGGCAUUUUUUCUGUCUAAAGAACUAAGUCAAGCCUUUGCAAAAGUGCAGAGCAGCACCUGCUGCCCCUGAUGGGAGCGUGCUGUCAGACGUGCGUGGCCAGGUCCCCAAGCACCUGCCUAUCUUGGAUAGGGAUCCUGAUGGGUUUUGCUUAAAUUUAUUCUGCUUGUAACAUAAGCAGCAGUGGAACUUCCCCACGUGCUAAAUGGGCUGAUACGUACGUUCUGUGGAUUUGCCCUCAGCACUUUGACCAGUGCUUCUGGACACAACCAAGGUCAUGAGCAAAAAGUAUCAUAAGGCCAAGGAGUUAGGGCUCUGGCUGAAGAGCUGGGGCUCUGGGCUGAUGGGCCCUGUGGACCCGCCCUUCCUUGGAACCAAUUGCUUCCUUCAACUGCUCAGCUGUCUCUACACCUGCAGCCUCUGGGUGAUCAGGGAGCCAAGGUCAGAGUCUGGAACAUGUUAAAUCUCUCUUUCUUCCUGGGUUUCUUCUUUCUCGGGCUGAUUGUCUCUGCCUCCGUCACUGUCUCUAUAUCCUUCCCUUCUGUGAAGGACCUAUUAGCCUCUCCAGCCCUUGGUCUUCUGCAUGUGUGUUUUCUCUCCAUUCUUGUGACUGCCACAUUUCUGUGGGUUUCCCGUGGGAUUCCCUCAGGCUCCCUACAGAAUCUUGGUCUUCACGUGGCCAAAUUCCAAUCGGACCAUUAUGUACCUGUCAUAUCCUCAAACCAAAUACAGCCAUCACCAAAUCAAUCAGGUGGUUUUUUUUUCCUAAGCUUUCCAGGCUUUUCUGGCCCCUGUGUAAAUCAUUGUCAUUCGGGUCAUCUUUGCCCCUUUCCUCUCCUUUGCCCUGUUCUGUUCAUCUCAGUGCCCCCCUGCCCCCUGCAGUCCCCAAGCUCAUUCCUCUGACUCUGUGCUGACUGUGUGGCAAUUUUCUAAACAGGCUUCCUGACUCCAUUUUCUUCCCACUAAAGUUGAUACUAUGCACUGAAGAACAAUUAAUUUUCCCAAAUUACUUCUCUGUUCAUGUUAACUCUCUGAUUUAAAAAUCUCCAGUUACUCGUUAUAGCUUAAGGCAGUGGUUUCCUGGAAUUUUAGAUAUGAUAGAGCAGUAAAUAAAGCUAUUAGGAAAAAAAAUCAAAACCAGAAAAAAAUCAGAACUAGAAAAAAGUUAGGGAGGGCAAACACAUAUUCCCCCCAUAAAGACAUUUCUAAAAUCCCCAUGGGCAGUAACCAUCAUUACAUUUUAACCCUAAGCGGAGGCAUGACCAUCUCAGAAGACAACCUUUCCCACUGGAAACAACACUUUUGUGAAAAUCUCCAACUAGCGGUCACCUGAUGUCCUUGCUCCUUAGCUGGGUGACACCAGCCUGUGGAGCCCAGGGAACACUGAUGUCCUUUCUGUCCCCAUCUCUUGUCCCGCCAGCAGCUCCCUGUCUGAGUGCACCUGGACACUGACAAGGCAUAGGACAUGUUGCCUGACCUCUUCAUAGACCUCAGUUUUCUCCCCUUUAAAAUGAAGACUCAGAAAUGGAGAAGAGGUUUCUUCUAGUCCUAAAGACUGUAUGGUUCAUUAAUCAGUUUACCUAAUCAAGGUGAUAGCUCUAUUUCUUUAAAUCUGGUUUUCUGUUGCAUAAACUCCAGUUAAAGAAUGGAGGAUUAUAAGCAAGGAUUUUCCCAUCAGAGGAUGAGGAAUACAUCAGAAAUGGAACUGUUCCUUGUUCACACCUGGGUAUCUUGGCUCCUGUAAACUGGAGAAGCAGAGAACCUCCUGAGUGAACUGGACAGGGUGAUGAAAAUACACGUAUCACGCCCAUCACUUUAGUCCAGGGAUGGGGGGAUAAAACCAUCGUGAUAUCCUGAGAGAAUAUUUACCCUCCCACCUCACUUAGCUUCAAAGAACCCAUUGAUUUCACUUACACGGUUGUUUUUAAUCCCUUUGAUUUUGCUUUGGUCUCCUCCAGCCCACCCUAUCCUUCCCACCCUGACGGAGGCAGAGUUCAAAUUGAGGUAGCCAGGAAAAGGGGCCAUCCAUCAACACAGCCGAUUCAUAAUUUUUGGCAAAGGAAUGACGAGGCUUGAGAUCCCUGACCCUGGCAGAUGGAUGUGACGCCAGGAGCUGCUUUGAGGCCUUGCCGUGCUGUCUAGAAAGGGCUGAGGGAAGAUGAAUGCAAAGGAGCAGGGACACUGGGUCCCUGCGGCAAAAGCCACCUGCAGAGCAGGAUAAUCCGCCCUAGAAACUCCGCCCGGUCGAUCUAAUUUGCAAGAGUUCCUAUCAAUCCCGGUCAGAGAGGAGCAGGGAGCUGAGACAGCUUGAGGUUCUUCACUCCAACAGAUUCACCUGCAAUAUCCCAGCCCUGAGGACCAGUUGUUAUUUCAGGUCCACUCAGUGUAACUGGGGAUCCGCAAACAUGUGGUGCUGACAUCCCUCUAAAACUGAAGGAUGGUCUCAUAAAAGAAAGACAUUGCGUCCUUUCCACUGUUGCUUCAGAAUUGAAUCCUGUCCCAAGCUUGUCACAUUCCUGAGUUGAUCACAUCUGACGUCAGUCCCAUCAGGCUGAACAUCCAAGUCCCCUGGCUCCCGUGGCCAAAGGGAGGGACCUCUGGAGAGCUCUUGAAUAGGAAGGUAGAUUCUCACUUCGGGCGUGAGCAGGGAGCUUCCUGGUCCUUAGUGAUGCUUGACGAGUGUCAGGAAGAGGCCAUUAGUGGACUCACUGCUGGGAAGAGCCCAUUAACGCCCAGCUGCCGCCGUGGUUUGCAAUGUGGAGCCCGCUGUAUGUUCACAGCGUGGAAACUGCGCUUUUCUCCUGGAAAGCAUGCAAAGAGGAAUCGUGCUUCACCAUCAUGUUGAGACUUUGUCCCUCAGACACCAAAAAGCCAGGAGAAAAAUGCAAAUUGCAGCCAAUCCUCCAUGCAUUUGGUGUACAUGAGGCUUGCUUGAAAACACCGUGUGAGUGACCCAAUAUUUUUAUCUUUACGAAGAGGCAGAGAGCCAUGUGUAAAGCUUGCCUUUUGAUUUUGUUAAAUGCAAACCCCAUACUUUAAAAAUUACUAAAUGAAAAAAUAACACUAAUAAUAUUGUAUCAAAAUCCUGGGAUGGUGGCUCCCUGGAGCCUCAAGAAAGCAUCAGUUUGGGGCUCUGUGUCUCCUGUCUCAUCGGCAGGCAGGUCCAACCAGGAGAUGAGGGAUUGUAUUUGGCAGGGUUUCCAGAAAAAGAGAACCAACAGGGUUCAUGCAGGAAGAAAUUUACGAUGAGAAACUGGUGCAGGCAGUUAUGGAGCCCGAGAAACCCCCAAUCUGGGAACUCAGGAACGCCCGUGGUGUAGCUCCAGCCUGAGUGCCAAGGCCUCCCCUGAGUCCAGGGCAGCCAGCGUGCAUCACCAUGCAGAGGGAGGCCUUCAGGGGACAGCGAAGACGGCACAGCUCUCCUCCCUCCAUCGUUUCCCUUCCCUCAGGCCCCAGUGGACUGGAGGAUGCCCACCUACACUAGGAGGGGAAAACCAGCUUUGCCGAGGCCACCAACAGACAUGCUUAGUUCCUCCCAAACACCCUCCCAGACACGCCCAGAAAUCAGGAUUAACAUGGGAACCUUUUGGGCCCGUCCAAGGAGCUGUCACAGGGCCCACCCCUGUGUGUUCAUGAGCCGUCCACAGCCUGGUCACCUGCAGGGGCCUGGCUCUCAGGUUGGGGCACCUCGAGCCCCCGCCGUCAGACCACAGUGUGGUCCUGUGCCUCUCACAGCCGUCUCUGAGCUGCUUCCUCGGCAGGCGAUGUCCUUCUAUGUCUUUCCUGUUCACCGUGAGCAGGGCCCGAGCAGGGCCCAAGCAGGGAGCAGCCCAGGCAUCUGCAGGAGAGGGAGGAGAGCUCUGCGGGGCUGGGCAGGCUGGUUGGGGACAGGUCUGCUCCCGGGUCACUUUUCACUGCGGGUUGAGCCAGGCAACUGAGUGUAAAUUAAAGGCACUAACCUGGACAGGGAACCUCAUUCUAAAGACGCUGAGAUGUUUCACAGACCCGGCCUCAGAAAGGCAGGAAGUGGAGACAGCGUGUCCCCCCAGCUUCAGUGGAAAAUAAAAUUCAUCUCUAGUCUUUCACAUCUACGGGCUUUGGUCCUACUACUGACUUGGUCUCUUAUUCCACCCGAAGCCCCAGUAGGAGUUCCAAUCCAGCCCACGCCAUUUUCACCAGGACAGGGUUCUCUGAUGGCUCCCUCGCAGGUCAGGAAGGCCCUUGGUCCAGUCGGCUGAAGUGUGUGCCCUCAGGCCUACAAUCCACAGGCUCUGGAAGAAAGCAGAUUCUUUGAGCAGGUGUGAACAUGCCAUGUAUGUAGGGCACGUCUGAUCACGGCCAAGAGCUAUGACCUUGGCCCCAGCAAGGUAGACCUGAUUUCCUGGUCCUAGAGCUUAGCCAUGGUGGUGGGUGGAAAUACGCCCAAAGUGUGCAAAUGCUGGAAUUGUGAUUCUAAAGGACCUGUAAACACUGUGAAGUCUGACUCAUUUUCACCAGCUUUAGCCCCCAACUCCUAAACUCUGUCAAAACACUCUCCAUUAAUACUCGGUUAAGCAAAUGCAAUUAUUGAAUACCUGUUGCAAACGCUCUGAACAAACUGAAAAAAAACGCAUAAGUGGAAGACAGUAUCUCAGAGUUCCCAGUAUGGUGCAGUGGGAUCUGCAAUAUCUCUGCAGCGCCAGGACGCAGGUUCGAUCCCCGGCCAGCAAGGUGGGUUAAGGAUCCAGUGUUGCUUCAGCUGUGGUGUAGGUUGCAACUGCAGCUUAGAUCUGAUACUUGGUCUGGGACCCCCAUAUGCCCAGAGGUGGACAAAAAAAAAAAGAGGAAGACAGUAUCUCAAAAGCUGUGAUGAUUACAUUUGUGGACUUAGACAUGAAAGGCAAAAAUUGACUAAGAAAAAUUGUUCUAAUGGGAAACCCAGAAAACUGUGUCAUGCCAGGAGUCUGUACCAGAGUCAGUGCCGUGAUCAAUUCCCUGAAAUUCGAAUUAAUACCGCACGAAAUUCAGGAAGCUGUGGUCAAGAAAGAUAUUAGCAAGAUGCAAUUCCCAGGGCCCAGCAAUGGAGAGGCCUUCAUUACCCACCCAGAAGCAGCUUUCAAUUUCACACUGGUGUAAUUUUAACAGCCUGGAGCUCCUCGGAC
rnacentral:lncRNA from 1 species